CCAGUGAGUCACUGGCUCCUCUCCCCGUCCCGUGUCCUGUCCCCUUCCCCUCCUCCUUCCCCUGCUCCUCUCCACACCUCUGCCCUCCUCCCUCUCCUUCUUCCCUCCCGUGGUGGGUGAUUGUCGCCCAAGAGCAAGAGGGGAUGGACAUCUCUUCUCUGCAGAGGAGGAGGAGAAAAAGGGGGAGGAAUUCCUCACUUCAGAUUAGAUAAAAUGUAUAUAAAAUGUGGGAAACAGUGCAAAAUUUGGUAAAAAAAAAAAAAAAUACUACCAGAAUAAGGGUAUAGAGUGCAAGUGAUAAAUUUAAUGACAAUACAGUGUCAGUUUCUGCAAAAUCCUCAAAAGGAAGCAAAAGCAAGUGUCGCUGAAUAGGUUCCUUAUUAAAGUGCAUGAAAAGAAAAAGAUUGCAGGGAGCCAGUAGCAGCGAUCCCACGAGCGACAGUGACACUCAUCCUCUACAGUAACCCUCCGCUCUGGUCUUCACAAAGGUUCUAGAAGAAGGAAGUGCUGCUGUCAUAUCCUGGAGAGGAGAGGAGAGGAGAGGAGAGGGGCUAAGUGGAGCGGGCAAAGUGAAAAGUGUCCUUGCCUGGGUUACUUCAUCCUCAACAAAGUCCUUGAAGCAAGUUGGAACAGCAAAUUGGCCCAGUGCACGAGCAGAAGAAAGCAGCUGCACCCCGACAGUCAAGGCUGACUGAAGUUAGCCGGGUGUAUGUGACAAGCAGCAGGAGCAGAGCAGAGGCUACCAUACGAUUUUUAACUUGAUAUAACAUGUCUAUAAGUUUGCUAUUCUAUAACUGUGCCUUUACAAUUUAUAUAACUGUGUCCUUGCAUAUAUAUAUUGGUAUCCCUACAAAGUGUAAUCACUAAGUACUAUAAACAUAUACCAAUAAAAUAAAAAUUAAAAAAUAAAAUAAAAGACCAG
rnacentral:lncRNA from 1 species